GAUGAACGCUGGCGGCGUGCCUAAUACAUGCAAGUCGAGCGAACGGACGAGAAGCUUGCUUCUCUGAUGUUAGCGGCGGACGGGUGAGUAACACGUGGAUAACCUACCUAUAAGACUGGGAUAACCUCGGGAAACCGGAGCUAAUACCGGAUAAUAUUUUGAACCGCAUGGUUCAAAAGUGAAAGACGGUCUUGCUGUCACUUAUAGAUGGAUCCGCGCUGCAUUAGCUAGUUGGUAAGGUAACGGCUUACCAAGGCAACGAUGCAUAGCCGACCUGAGAGGGUGAUCGGCCACACUGGAACUGAGACACGGUCCAGACUCCUACGGGAGGCAGCAGUAGGGAAUCUUCCGCAAUGGGCGAAAGCCUGACGGAGCAACGCCGCGUGAGUGAUGAAGGUCUUCGGAUCGUAAAACUCUGUUAUUAGGGAAGAACAUAUGUGUAAGUAACUGUGCACAUCUUGACGGUACCUAAUCAGAAAGCCACGGCUAACUACGUGCCAGCAGCCGCGGUAAUACGUAGGUGGCAAGCGUUAUCCGGAAUUAUUGGGCGUAAAGCGCGCGUAGGCGGUUUUUUAAGUCUGAUGUGAAAGCCCACGGCUCAACCGUGGAGGGUCAUUGGAAACUGGAAAACUUGAGUGCAGAAGAGGAAAGUGGAAUUCCAUGUGUAGCGGUGAAAUGCGCAGAGAUAUGGAGGAACACCAGUGGCGAAGGCGACUUUCUGGUCUGUAACUGACGCUGAUGUGCGAAAGCGUGGGGAUCAAACAGGAUUAGAUACCCUGGUAGUCCACGCCGUAAACGAUGAGUGCUAAGUGUUAGGGGGUUUCCGCCCCUUAGUGCUGCAGCUAACGCAUUGAGCACUCCGCCUGGGGAGUACGACCGCAAGGUUGAAACUCAAAGGAAUUGACGGGGACCCGCACAAGCGGUGGAGCAUGUGGUUUAAUUCGAAGCAACGCGAAGAACCUUACCAAAUCUUGACAUCCUUUGACAACUCUAGAGAUAGAGCCUUCCCCUUCGGGGGACAAAGUGACAGGUGGUGCAUGGUUGUCGUCAGCUCGUGUCGUGAGAUGUUGGGUUAAGUCCCGCAACGAGCGCAACCCUUAAGCUUAGUUGCCAUCAUUAAGUUGGGCACUCUAAGUUGACUGCCGGUGACAAACCGGAGGAAGGUGGGGAUGACGUCAAAUCAUCAUGCCCCUUAUGAUUUGGGCUACACACGUGCUACAAUGGACAAUACAAAGGGCAGCGAAACCGCGAGGUCAAGCAAAUCCCAUAAAGUUGUUCUCAGUUCGGAUUGUAGUCUGCAACUCGACUACAUGAAGCUGGAAUCGCUAGUAAUCGUAGAUCAGCAUGCUACGGUGAAUACGUUCCCGGGUCU
rnacentral:rRNA from 1 species